GUCAUCGCUGGAAGUCCAAGAUUCUGUUUCUUCCAACUACUAACGCAACUAUGUGCACAUCUACUGCUUUUCAGAGGAUCCAAACCAUUCUGUGAUGGUGAGUCCUGGAUAUUAUAACUCUCAAGCCUACAAAACCAAGUCUCAGCCUGCAUUUUGUCCUUGCAAAUCAGAUCAAGAGUACGCUUGCCAUUUUUCAUAUAAA
rnacentral:misc_RNA from 1 species